GCCGCAGUGGUGGAAUGGUAGACACGAGGGACUUAAAAUCCCUUGACCGUAAAUGGUCGUACUGGUUCGAGUCCAGUCUGCGGCACCA
rnacentral:tRNA from 1 species